rnacentral:lncRNA from 1 species
GAUGCAAAUACCUCAGCUUUGCCUAAUUCACCUCGGUGUUUGGGUCGGCAACCAUCAGGAUAGCUCAUUGACUUGAGCUACCCUCGAUAACACACUAGUUUGAGGUAUUUCGAUAUGAAGAACCCCUAAUAUCACCCUAAUUCGAGGUAUUUGUAGUACCUCAGAUCUCUUGAUUUCCCUACUGGCUCCCUGGUUGAUACUUCGGUUGGCUC